rnacentral:lncRNA from 1 species
GAGUAUGAUGAAGAAAGAAUUAAAAUCCAAGGAGGAACAGAAGAAAAGUAUGUAGAAAAUGUGAUUUCCCCAAGGCUCGUGACAUUGUCUUGUAAGGGAAGAUGGGUCUGACUGCCAGUAGCAGCCUUAAACAAAAUAAUCAAAAAAGUGAGCCCCCGCACAUAAGCUCGAGACUAUCAGAAUUCUUCAGGGCAGAAUAAGUUGGGCCUUUAUUUCCCUCUGCUGCUUCCCUGGUAAUUGUUUGAAGAGUCCUGUGAAGACUUCUUUUUAAUUCCUCUCACUGUGAGGACCAGCCUCUCACACCUUGCUUUCAAAUACUGGAAAUAUCCUCUGAGGCUCCUCUGUGCCUCCAAAGGUCAAGGAACUGACAUUUUAAUAUCAGGCGCAUAACUUGGGAAGCUAGCAGAAAGGGGAAGUCUCCAGAGAUUUCAGAAAGUCUGAAGACAUUUUUGGUUUAUACAAGCGGGAAGGUACUACCCGCUUCUAAUGAGCAGAGACCAGGGAUGCUGCUAAACUUCCUACAAUGCAUAGGACAACUUCUCAUAAAAAAGAAUUAUCUGGCCCCAAAUGUCAACAGUGCUGAAGUUUUUUAGUGGGUAUCAUUAUUUUAUCUGCGUUCUCAUCUCUUACCAGAUAGUUACUGUGCUGCUAUCACUGCUGCUGCUGUUUUCCAAUCCUACCCAAGCAAUUUUGGAAGGUAUUCAAGCAGUUCUCAGCUCCACUUUUAGUUACCUGUUCUUGAGCUAAAAAACAUUCUCUAAACUUUCUAUGUUGGAAACAUGCAUCUUUACGAUCAUUAUUUUUUCACAGAGACCUUUUUAUUAUUAUAACCUACUUGUUUCUGUCUCGUAUUUAUCACAACCAAGGACUUGCAGUCUAUGCUUACUCUACUAUUAUUAUAGUUUUUUGGACCAUGCAUUGGAACAUUUUUUUUUGACAUCUGGAUAUGAUGACAAAGCAUCAUCCAAAGGCAUUUUAUACACUUUUCAUCGUGGGAUAAAUUUUUGUCUUAGUUUACUUCCAUCUCUUAAAAUACAGACAACAGUUUUUGUUUUUCCUCACAAAAGAGUUUCAAGGGUCUUGUUAUCCCAAGGCGAUUAUGACUCGUCCCAAACGAAUAAUAACCAUCAUGGGUCUAUCUUCAGCCAGAUAUAAGAGUUACAUUGAAAAAGAAUAUAUUCUGUGGAAUUGCUAUCCUGACAAAUAUCUUUAUCAAGCAUCUGAACUGUGAUGAAUAUGGCUCCUAAUAUUAUUUAUCUUCAGAACUUUGUUUCAGUGGGUUGAUUUAUUGUUUAUUCAGUGGACAGAAAUUACGGUCUGGCUGAACACUCACAUAGGUUUUGAUUUCCAUACAAAAGUCUCACUUUCUAAACAGACUACUAAUUUCCUGGUUCGAUUCUCAGUCAAAAUCUAACUUUCAAAGAAUAUGUGCCUUUGCUGGACAUUAUGUCAAAAGCCCUUUAGGCAGCUUCAGCAAUUGUCCUCAAAGCCCCUCAAAGGCUGAAAGGAGAACAGAAUAGAGCAGAAUAUAAGGUUUAAAAGACAGCUCUUCAGUCAAAAAUAAGUUGAAUAAAUAAGCAAAGAAGUCUUUGAGAAAGCCUUCAUUUGACAAAGUAGAAGUAUCCAUCUUCUUUCUCAUUUCUACCAUGACUUAGAAAAUACAUUUAUAUUACAAGUCAUCCCUUAGACAGUGCAUCCAGAUAAAUAGAUAUCAGAAAGGGCACUGAGAUAAAUAGAUAUCAGAGCUGGCUCUCUUUUUGCUUUACCAAGCUUUAUUUCCCGAAGGCACAUCAACAAUGUGAACUAAAUGGUAUCAUUCCACAAUUCACUUCUCAGUGCUUAAGUCAGGUGGUGACAAUCCUGAGUUUAGCUACCUUGAAUAAUAGGUUGGAAAAAAAAUAUAAAGAGGAGUAGGAAGCUGAUAAAUAGAUUCAAUUGUUCUAUUUCUCAGAUGGAUGAACUAAAAAACAAAUCAGGCUAAUCUGAGACUUCACUUGGGAGCUAUGUCAGUUCUAAGUUAAAGCUGCCACUGAAUAAUGCCUUGCCAAAAAAUAAAGUCUUAUAGUCAAUCCUUUAGUGUAUGUCUCAUUCCAAGGCACUGCCUCCUUGAUUUUUGUGCUAGGUUGUCACUGUGAUUGAAUUGUGAACUUGUUCUCUUUGACCUCUAGAAACUUUAAGAAUUGUCUAAGAGAUUUUUUAAGGUCAAGAUUAUAUUGAGAGACAUUAUGCUAUGUAGAUAAAUACCAUGGAAAAAAGGAUAGAGUAAUGACUUGUCAAGACAUAAAGGAUUAUAGAAAAAAAUAUUAAAUGUAGAAAACUUUUUUUUAAAUGUGUGUAUGUGUGUGUGUGUGUGUGUGAAUGAGAAUCCUCUUUAGAAAGAAAGCUUUCACUCUGAAGGAAUAUAAAAGUAAAAUGGUUGGAGAGCUUCCCCAAACAAGGAUUAUAAACUCCUUUACAUCAUAAAUGAAAACAUACUUAAACAGCUGUUUAAUAUUUAAAAUUCUUAAGUUAGGAAAGCAAAAUUAUUUUUUUUAUGAGAAACUACCCCAGGGACUUGAAAUUGCUCAAUAAGAACAUUUGUACAUCUAUUCUUAAAGCUUUGAGUUCAGAAGUUAAUAGGUAGUCAAUAUACUGUGUAACUUCCAUGCAUGGAUGAGUUAGAGUUUUAAUAAUAUUAAUCUUCCAAUAUUAGGACAUUAAUGUCAUAAUACGAUGCCUGGAAUUCCCUUAAAAUGCCAUUGGAAAUCCCCUAUAUAUAUUUUUUACCCUGUGAAAAAGCCAAGGAAAUUAUUAUGAGGUUAUCAAAGUGAUAGAGCUGCCAAUAUUGCUUAUCCAAAGCUAAAAAAUCCAAAUUUCUUAAAAUUUUCCUUCCAAAAAAAUAAUAUAUGGUGGAAACAUGACUUUCAAGAAUGGUAUUACACUCAGUAGGACAUACAUAAAGGAGCUAUAGUGAACAGCUCAAAUGGAAGGGAGGGGAAGGGAAAAUGAAAUGCUCAAACAUGAUCUGAUGGUAUAAAGGACUUCACACCAAAUAAGAUUUUAAUACUACAACAUUUGGAAUUGCACUUAGCUCUGGUGUUUCUAUGCAAUAGAAACUUGGGAAAUUGACUGGAUCUUUCUAAACCUCAGUUUUUCCUUUGGUAAAAUGGGUUUGGCAUUGCUUAUCUUGCUGGAGUAUUAUGAAGAUUAGGCAAAACAAUGCAUUGAAAAAGCUUUAUAAGUUGUAAAGCAGCUGCUGUGGUUGUUUUUGUUGUUGCCAUUCUGUUGUUCUUGUGUGUAUAUACUUUAUCAAUAGUUCUCAAACAAUGCUGUACAUUAACAUCCAGAGUGGAAACAUCUUCAAGAUUCACAUGCCUGGAUUCCAUUUGAGUGUUGAAGCUGGGCUCAAACAUACCUAUUUGGAAAAGCCUAUCCAGACAGUUCUGGUGGGCAGCCCAUGACGUUUAUCCUCUACUCUCAAGCCUCAGACUUCCUAAUCUCUAAUGUUUUAUAACUACCAUGAAAUAGAGGACCAUAAGCAGGCAUUCUCUCUUCUUCAGUCUCAGAAUUCAAUCAAUGGUUAUUUUGUCCUGUAAGGUUACAGUGAACUGCUGAAAUACGGAAUUUACUACAAUGGUGAAGAUUCAUAGUUUGGGGAAUAAAUGAUUCAAAAGCUUAAA